rnacentral:lncRNA from 1 species
AAAGAUCAAACAAUGGGCAGCAGAAAUACCAACGAACUAGAAUAAUAUAUUACUAAGACGUGACAUCGUGGCCCAUUUAAUCCACGAAUGUUCCAACCCGCACGGAAUAACUCGGACCACUCGGAGCGAAACAAUAACCAUCACAACCUCAAGUCUCGGAUAAGAGACGACAUAAUAAUAACUAGCAGCAGGCUUCGUCGCCUCCACCACAUAACAUCGACUGUUUAGUCCACCUCCUCAAUCUUGGGGCCGGGGCCGCCGGACGCAGCUGGGGUGUCGUCGUCCAUGCCGCCCUCCAUGUCAGCACCAGCACCCUGGUACAUCUUGGCGAUGAUGGGGUUGCACAGGGCCUCCAGCUCCUUCAUCUUGUCCUCGAACUCGUCCGCCUCAGCGAGCUGGUUCGUGUCCAGCCACUGGAUGGCAGCAUCGAUGGCAUCCUCGAUCUUCUUCUUGUCGUCCGCCGGCAGCUUGGAGGCGAUCUUCUCGUCCUUGAUGGUGUUGCGCAUGUUGUACGAGUAGUUCUCCAGGGCGUUCUUGGACUCCACCUUCUUCUUGUGCUCCUCGUCCUCGGACUUGUACUUCUCAGCUUCCUGGACCAUCUUCUCGAUCUCCUCCUUGCUCAGCCUGCCCUUGUCGUUGGUGAUGGUGAUCUUGUUCUUCUGCCCAGUCGUCUUGUCCUCGGCAGACACGUUCAGGAUACCAUUGGCGUCGAUGUCAAAGCAGACCGUGAUCUGGGGAACUCCCCUGGGAGCAGGAGGGAUGCCAGACAGCUCGAACUUGCCAAGAAGGUUGUUGUCACGGGUCCUGGUCCUCUCACCCUCAUACACCUGGAUGAGCACACCAGGCUGGUUGUCCGAGUAGGUGGAGAAGACCUGCUCCUUCUUGGUGGGGAUGGUGGUGUUCCUUGGGAUCAAGACUGUCAUCACACCCCCGGCUGUCUCCAGACCAAGAGAAAGAGGAGUGACAUCCAAUAGCAGCAGGUCCUGGACCUUCUCGUUGCCCUCUCCGCUCAAGAUGGCAGCCUGGACAGCAGCCCCGUAGGCAACAGCCUCAUCAGGGUUGAUGCUCUUGCAGAGCUCCUUGCCGUUGAAGAAGUCCUGGAGAAGCUGCUGCACUUUUGGAAUCCUAGUGGAACCACCAACAAGGACAACAUCGUGCACGGUGCUCUUGUCCAUCUUUGCAUCCCUGAGACACUUCUCCACAGGCUCCAUACACUUCCUGAACAGAUCCAUGUUCAUCUCCUCAAACCUAGCCCGGGUGAUGGUGGAGUAGAAGUCAAUGCCUUCAAACAGCGAGUCAAUCUCAAUGGUGGUCUGCGCAGUGGAGGAGAGAGUCCUCUUUGCCCUCUCACAGGAUGUCCUCAGCCUCCGAAG